AAAAUGAAAACAUCCCAGGUAGUUAUUGAACAUGUGUGUCUAUUUGUUUGUAUGACACAAUUACUUUUAUUAUUUAUUUUUUUGCUGUCUCUUUUGUUUCUGUUUCACUUUGACA
rnacentral:ribozyme from 1 species